CCUACGGGGGGCAGCAGUAGGGAAUAUUGCUCAAUGGGGGAAACCCUGAAGCAGCAACGCCGCGUGGAGGAUGAAGGUAUUCGGAUUGUAAAAUCCUUUUGGUAGAGAAGAUAAUGCUGGUAUCCAACGACUAAGCACCGGCUCACACCGUGACAGCAGGCGCGGUAAGACGGAGGGUGCAAGCGUUAUUCGGAAUCACUGGGCGUAAAGAGCGCGUAGGCGGGUUAGCAAGUCAGAUGUGAAAUCCUAUGGCUUAACCAUAGAACUGCAGUUGAAACUGGUAGUCUAGAGUAGGGGAGAGGGAGGUGGAAUUCGUGGUGUAGCGGUGAAAUGCGUAGAGAUCGAGAGGAAUACUGAUUGCGAAGGCGGCCUGCUGGAACAAAACUGACGCUGAGGCGCGAAAGCGUGGGGAGCAAACAGGAUUAGAUACCCCAGUAGUC
rnacentral:rRNA from 1 species